AGUGUUGGGGGACGGUUAGCGUGUCUUUGCAGUGACAGUUUGUUGGACAUAUUUCCUUGUUUUGGCACCGAAUUUCAGCGUCAAGAACUUGAAGCCGACUCAAAAGUGAUGACGGAAUACACGUGACAAACAACUGUGUAAAGUUAGAUCGAUUUAGUAUGAUAAUUUUCAUAAAUAACGAGCCACAAGCGAAUCCAUAUUAGCUGUCGUCUGCUAAGCUCGAGUUAGUGAGUAGCUUUCUGUUGUCGUAGUUGAAAUAUUUAUACCGUCUGGCAAGUGAUAAUGGGCAACAUCUACACUGUUGGGCCGAAUGAAGCCCUCGUCGUUUCAGGCGGCUGCUGUGGGGCGACCACCAAGAAGACCAUCGUCGGAGGCUGGGCGUGGGCCUGGUGGUUCGUUACUGACGUGCAGCGCCUCUCCCUGGAGGUGAUCACGAUCAAGCCGCGGUGCGAGAACGUCGAGACGUCGCUGGGUGUUCAAGUGACGGUGACGGGCGUAGCACAGAUCAAGAUCAUGAAGGAGGAGAAGGUCCUGAAGAUUGCCUCCGAGCAGUUCCUGGGCAUGUCGCAGGAGGAGAUGAUGAGCACCAUCCUUAUGACCCUUGAGGGACAUCUCAGGGCUAUACUUGCUACGCUGACGGUGGAAGAGGUGUACCGGGACCGAGACCAGUUUGCGUCCCUGGUGAGGGACGUGGCAGGCAUGGACGUGGGACGUAUGGGCAUUGAAAUACUCUCCUUCACCAUCAAGGACGUAUACGACCGUGUGGAGUAUCUCACGUCGCUGGGACGCUCGCAGACGGCGGCCGUGAAGCGCGACGCGGACAUCGGCGUGGCGCUCGCUAACAGAGACGCCGGCAUCAGGGAAGCUGAGUGCCAGAAGACGGCGAUGGACGUGAAGUACACCACCGACACCAAAAUAGAAGACAACGCCAGGAUGUUUAAACUGCAGAAGGCGCAAUUUGACACGGAAGUUAAUGCAGCGCAAGCGGAUGCAGCACUGGCAUACGAGCUUCAGGCAGCGAAGCUGAAGCAGAACAUCAGGAACGAAGAGAUCCAGAUCGAGGUGGUGGAGCGCAGGAAACAGAUCGAGGUCGAGGAGCAAGAGAUCAACAGGAAGGAAAAGGAGCUCAUGGCCACCAUCAAACUGCCUGCCGAAGCUGAGAGCUACAGGCUCGAGACCAUAGCGCAGGGUAAACGUACUCAGACGGUCGAGACAGCCCGCGCCGAGGCAGAACGUAUCAAGCGGAUCGGUGAGGCCGAGGCGUACUCCGUGCAGCUCGUGGGAGAGGCUGAGGCUGACCGUCUCCGCAUGAAGGCUCAGGCUUACAAGCAGUACGGCGACGCUGCCGUCAUGGCCAUGGUGCUGGAAUCCCUGCCACAAAUUGCUGCUGAAAUCUCGGCUCCUCUUGCCAAGACCGACGAGAUCCUCAUGAUCGGCAGCAAUGACUGCAUCACCAACGGCGUCACCAAACUGGUGUCGGAACUGCCCCCUACCGUGCAGGCGCUGACCGGCGUCGAUAUCUCCAAGGUGUUGUCGAACGUCGAUAUCAACAAGCUGCUGAACAAGAUACCAGGAGUGUCCGGGGCGGGCGUACCGACUACGCGACCAGCGGCCGUGUGAGCUCCCGACCAGCUUCUCGUUUAAGAAUUUCCCUCCAAAAUACUCAACUCUGCUAUAGCGAGCUGAGCGCCGUGCGUUCGUAACGCACAGACGUCGUCGCGUGCAUGCACCGCGAACGUCGGACUUACGUCAUAAAACGUUUAUAACUCUUAAGAAAAGUACGUUUUUUAUAGGAAUAGUUUUAUGUAUUUGCCUCACUCUCACCAAUAGCUUCUGAAAAAUCAAAUUUAUAAUCGUCUCAAAACUGAUAAAAUGUGUUUUUUUUUUAUUUUUGAAUUGGUAGCUUGUGUCGUUUGUUGACCGACUUGUUUCUUGUGGGUGAUUUUAAUUACCGCUUAAAACAUUAAUUAAUUAAUGUCAUCUGUUCACUCGAACACUUAUAUUGGUUCGCUCCUCGAAGUCUAUAAUAAAUUAUUUAGAACAGAAAAGGCUAUAUGUCAGGGUCUGGCAGCACAUGAAGUAUUUUCUCGUAGUUUAUUGUCGUUCUUUAUUUUUAAUGAAGAGAACGUAUAAAGGCCUGCUUUCUGCUUGUUUUUAUUGAAUGAUAAAGGAAUCAAUUUUUGUGUAGGAUUAGUUACGCGACUUACAAGAUGCACGUGUGUAAAAGCUGUCUUUAAAUGUCUACAGAUAAAAAUGUAAUUUUAUGAUAAUAUUACGUCCUUAAGUCUCAAACCUUCAUUUCAGUUUGCGAAAAAGACUUCAAUCGUAAAAUCGUUAAUAGACUUUUAGAAAUUGCGGUAUUGAAUGAGGUUUUUCUAGAUUUACUUGGUAUCAUAGCUGCCAUGUCUGCAUUACCUGAGAGAUAGACUGCAGUACGUUAGUCUUACUUUAAUUUUGUUCGGUAAGUUGUUCUGAACAUUUUAUCAUAGUAACAAACGCUGUAUUAUGAGAUAUGAAUCCAUAUUAACGAAGCUUUGAUCUCUAUUCCCAAGGUUACCGUUCAUGUUAAGUAAAUAUUUUGCUUUUGGUUGUUUUGAAUUACAUUAAAAAUGCAUGGGUAAUGUCAUUAUGAUACCGUAGCCAUCUUUAUAUUUGCUCAGGAUACUCAUAUUUGUUUGAUCUGUCAAGGUUUGUACACGCGCCCAGCUGGAAAAAUGGAAUCUUUUACUGAAAUUGAAUGGCAGUUUUUCGGUAGCGUAUUUGUUGUAUUAACGAACAGGAAUUGCUAACCGCCCUUAGCGAGAAUAUCUCUGGCUUUAUCUCUGCGUUUCUAAAAGAGGUUGGUCGAGCGUUUUCUUUAACUAAUACUCGGGUCGCUAGGAUGUAUUGUACAACGUAUUUUUUGUAUAAACUUUUACUGUAAAUCUCGUAUGAAAAGACAUGUCAUUACAAUCUGUUUGGUGCUUUCAAUGUAGUUAACUGUCAAUCUGUUGGCUCUCCGUUCAUCUGUUCUAUUGGUAUGGCAGGAAGGCUAUCAAAGACAGGAAGGCUAUCUAUUGAUAUACCUCGAAGGCUAUUAACCCGGACAUAAUUUUAAGCAGCAGUAGAGUUCUGUAAUCGCACUGCCAUGAGGGAGAAAAUCCUCUCUAGUUAGCUUUUACAUGUCGAAAUUAUGCAGAUUUUGUACUCGUCUAAUCGUUGUUUAUGGGGCGUAGUUCGAACAUUUUAAGUAUUGUAGUACAACUCGCUUGCGACGACUAACAAUAUAAAUAAUCAUUGCCAUCAUCUCUUGAUGCUUCCAGUGAGAAUUUUGUCAUUAAUCUGAGACUCUGAGCGUUAAUAAUACUUACUACUGCUCGAAGUGAUGUAAGGGUACAUGGUGGACUUAUAAAUCGUCUUGUUUACUGAAUGCAUGUAAAGAAUGCAUCUAAUGCAUGUCAUUCUGUUUACUGAAUGCACAUAAUCGAAAUAAAUAUUCUUGAAGACUCGUGUAAACGAAAUGGGCCAAGGCAUAUGAAUGGAAACUGAUGCAUGUACACGAGACUAGAAACCAUCAAAGCCGACAUGUUGGUAAAUUAAACAAUGUAAAGAUUAACAAACACUGAACAAUUAUGAACUGAAUUAUCGGGAUUAUGUCCAUCAUUGGCCGGGUUGCUGGAAGCAUCGUUGCAUCGAUAGUUAAUCAUUGUCCUAAUCAUCUCGAGAUAGUUGUUUUCCUUCACCAUUUUGGGUUUGUUGAUAAUUACCUUUAACUUUUGGGAAUAGUUGUUUCAUUUCCUACUCAAUCUCAUGGUAGUUUAUCACUUCUAAUGAUGUUUGGUGAACUGCAGUGAAUCCACGUAAAGUAUUGAACUGUUCGUUGUUGCUGUCUAGUCGUCGCAUUCACUGGGCAUUCAAUAGAUCUCGAUCACAUGAAUUCAUCUGAUGGAUGCAAGGAUGAAUGAAUGAUAGUAGCAUCUGUGACACGUUGGUUACAUCUGAAUAUAGCUUUUGAAGCUUGGCGUUGUCUAUUUUGAUACUUCAUUAAUUAUAACAUACGUGCAUAUGUAGGCUUUGCAUCCCUUAUUUUUUGUAUUAUGUUUCUUAUUGCAAGACUUAACUACAUGAUUAUCAUGCAUCUGAACUCGGCUCUGAAUUAUUUAAUAUCUCGGUUAUCUUUUCAUUUAAUUGUACCAACAUAACUCUGGAUGAUAAUAUUACGACGUGAUAAUUUUUGAAUGUUAAUGAAUAAUAUCUUGUUCUUUAACAUUUUUAUUAUUUUUAUCCAAGGUUUCUCACUUUGUGUGCACACUACUUAAUGUGCAGGUCCUUCUAAUAAUGAGAUUUGAAGGUUUUCUUGGUUUGGUUCCAGCGACUUAUACGUCAAUAUUUUUUUUUAUAUAAUGUAUAUCCUUAGCUUAUUUCGAGGGCAUUAAUUCAUAAAGUUCCGAAGCAGUGCUUUGACUGUAAGUGCUGCGCCGGUGAUCUGUCAGUUAAAUUUAAUGUUUUUGAUGAUUUUUUUUAUCUUGCAUAAUACUUUAUCUCAACAAUGGCCUAAAAUGUAAUUCCGUUAGACUGAUUUUAUGUCAGUGAUGAACUUCACUGAUUUAUAUCGUGAAGAUUAACAAUUAUUUGUACUUGAUGAUAAAUUUGUUGAAUCAUACCCCGUAUUACAGUGGAUUAAAAUCUCUUAUGGCCAUUGUUAAUGGGCCAUUGA